GUGGGGAAUAUUGCACAAUGGGCGAAAGCCUGAUGCAGCCAUGCCGCGUGUGUGAAGAAGGCCUUAGGGUUGUAAAGCACUUUCAGAUGUGAGGAAGGCCAAGUAGUUAAUACCUGCUUGGAUUGACGUUAGCAUCAGAAGAAGCACCGGCUAACUCCGUGCCAGCAGCCGCGGUAAUACGGAGGGUGCAAGCGUUAAUCGGAAUUACUGGGCGUAAAGCGCACGUAGGUGGCGAGAUAAGUUGGAUGUGAAAAACCGGGGCUUAACCUCGGCCGUGCAUUCAAAACUGUCUAGCUAGAGUAAGGGAGAGGGGGGUAGAAUUCCAGGUGUAGCGGUGAAAUGCGUAGAGAUCUGGAGGAAUACCGGUGGCGAAGGCGGCCCCCUGGCCCAUUACUGACACUGAGGUGCGAAAGCGUGGGUAGCGAACAGGAUUAGAUACCCUAGUAGUCC
rnacentral:rRNA from 1 species